AUUGAACGCUGGCGGCAUGCCUUACACAUGCAAGUCGAACGGCAGCACGGGUGCUUGCACCUGGUGGCGAGUGGCGAACGGGUGAGUAAUACAUCGGAACAUGUCCUGUAGUGGGGGAUAGCCCGGCGAAAGCCGGAUUAAUACCGCAUACGAUCUACGGAUGAAAGCGGGGGACCUUCGGGCCUCGCGCUAUAGGGUUGGCCGAUGGCUGAUUAGCUAGUUGGUGGGGUAAAGGCCUACCAAGGCGACGAUCAGUAGCUGGUCUGAGAGGACGACCAGCCACACUGGGACUGAGACACGGCCCAGACUCCUACGGGAGGCAGCAGUGGGGAAUUUUGGACAAUGGGCGAAAGCCUGAUCCAGCAAUGCCGCGCGUGUGAAGAAGGCCUUCGGGUUGUAAAGCACUUUUGUCCGGAAAGAAAUCCUUGGCCCUAAUACGGUCGGGGGAUGACGGUACCGGAAGAAUAAGCACCGGCUAACUACGUG
rnacentral:rRNA from 1 species